AGUGAACGCUGGCGGUAGGCCUAACACAUGCAAGUCGAACGGCAGCACAGUAAGAGCUUGCUCUUACGGGUGGCGAGUGGCGGAUGGGUGAGGAAUACAUCGGAAUCUACUUUUUCGUGGGGGAUAACGUAGGGAAACAUACGCUAAUACCGCAUACGACCUACGGGUGAAAGCAGGGGAUCUUCGGACCUUGCGCGAUUGAAUGAGCCGAGGUCGGAUUAGCUAGUUGGCGGGGUAAAGGCCCACCAAGGCGACGAGCCGUAGCUGGUAUGAGCGGAUGAUCAGCCACACUGGAACUGAGACAGGGCCCAGACUCCGACGGGAGGCCGCAGUGGGGAAUCUUGGACAAUGGGGGAAAGCCUGAUCCAGCAAUACCGCGUGGGUGCAGAAGGACUUCGGCUUGGAGAGUCAUUUUGUUGGGAAAGAAAAGCAGCAGGUUCAUCCCCCGCUGUGCUGACGGUACCCAAAGAAUAAGCACCGGCUAACUUCGUG
rnacentral:rRNA from 1 species